GGGUAAUCAAGUUGAAGGUCACUUUUAGAAAUGAAGAGUGAAGCAGCACAGAGACUUUGCUAAGCAGGAUAGAACUUGGCAACUGGAGGAUAUCAACCCUCAAGCUUUCUCGUCCAUUGGCUGUUUAUUUCCAGCUGUUCUCCUCCAGUACAGCUGAGGCUGUUUUGGCCCCCUCCCCCUGCCAAAAAGGUUGUGUGCUUGGGAAGCCACCAGAACAAGAUUCCUGCUAGUUUCUCAGAGUCGAAUUUAAAAUAUUUGGCCAGAAGCUUGCCUGUGGUUGGACCAGUCUCUUACAGCAACUCCUGCCCAUUCCAUCUGUCCCCAAAGGCCAGCGAUGGGGGCGGGGGCACUGAAAGGCUGCUGGGAGCAGCCCCAGACCCAGUGCAUCUGGACAACCUCCUGGGCCU
rnacentral:lncRNA from 1 species